UCGCCGUGUUUCCCAGACUGUUCUCAAACUCCUGAGCUCAAAGCAGUCCACCCACCUUGGCCUCCCAGAGUGCUGGGAUUACAGGUGUGAGCCAUCUUGCUCAUUCUAGUUUAAACUUUUGAGUGGUUUGUGUCUCCUGAUUGGACUCCUACAAAUACAGAAUUGAUGCUAGGAAGGGUACCAGGAGAUAGACGCACACAGAUGGGAUUUGGGAAUAGGUUUGGUUAUCCAAGGAGCAGUGCUGAGCUCCUUGCUAAUGGGAUAUGGGAUGCUGGUGAUUUCCAGGAAGUGAGCUCACAAUGACUCAAGCUGCCACAUACUGUUGAUUGUGAAAUGCCAGUUGAAGUAUAUGUCCUGCGAGCUUAGGGGUGCUACAAGUUGACCACUGCAGCAGUAAAGAUGACUCUGAAGAAUGGCGUGGGGUGGAUCCUUUCAAAUGCACUUGAGCAGCGGUCUCCAACCACAGGGCCACAGAGCUGGAGCUGGAUCUACCAUGAAGGACUUCUGAAUCCAGGAAGAGAGACUGACUGGGCAACAUGUUAUUCAGGAGAUGGGGUCUCACCCUGUCACCCAGGCUUGAGUACAGUAGCGCUAUCACA